rnacentral:rRNA from 1 species
GGUGAACGCUGGCGGCGUGCCUAAUACAUGCAAGUCGAGCGAACCACUUCGGUGGUGAGCGGCGAACGGGUGAGUAACACGUAGGUGAUCUGCCCAUCAGACGGGGACAACGAUUGGAAACGAUCGCUAAUACCGGAUAGGACGAAAGUUUAAAGGUGCUUCUAGCACCGCUGAUGGAUGAGCCUGCGGCGCAUUAGCUAGUUGGUAGGGUAAAGGCCUACCAAGGCGACGAUGCGUAGCCGACCUGAGAGGGUGAACGGCCACACUGGGACUGAGACACGGCCCAGACUCCUACGGGAGGCAGCAGUAGGGAAUCUUCGGCAAUGGGCGAAAGCCUGACCGAGCAACGCCGCGUGAAUGAUGAAGGCCUUCGGGUUGUAAAAUUCUGUUAUAAGGGAAGAACGACUUUAGUAGGAAAUGGCUAGAGUGUGACCGUACCUUAUGAGAAAGCCACGGCUAACUACGUGCCAGCCGCCGCAGUAA